rnacentral:lncRNA from 1 species
CAACAUCAUAUACAUCAAGUUUGGAUUAACAUAACUCAUCAUUUAACUUUUACAUAAUAAUCAUGUUCAAAGGGAUUUACAGAAACAUAAACUAGGGCAAAGCACAAAUCUAUCCAUUACAUAUUACAUGUCCACUACUAAUCUAUUACAUAAGCUUAUACCAACCUCUAGCCGACUUCCCGCUCUAUCUCUGAUCCUGCAAACUUGGGGUUAGGGGAAAGGGAUAAGCUACAAGAGCCUAGUGAGCAGAACCAUAAAAACAAUUUAAUAAAUAUAUGCUCUCAUGAAAUGUAUCACAACACAAACAAUACACAUCAAGGAUGGACUUGUCGCCAGUAACCCUCUACAUAUCCAAUGUGCCUGGCCCUCGACUGAGCUCCUCAGGACUUUCGCUUAAACAUAACAUAGCAUAUCCAACUGUGCCAGGGGCGUAGAAUGGGCAAGCCCUGGUCUUUUCCUUACAUCGUGUCAGGGGAGUAGAAUGGGCAAGCCCUGGACUUCCAUAUCAUGUCAUAUCAUAUCGUAUCGUAUCAUAUCGAGGGCUAGUGGGUCAUCCAAUAUCCAUCCACAACAACAGUAAAUUAUGCAAUGCAUCAUAUUCGUGAAUUCUAAUGCAACAACUAUUACAUAACAUGGUAUUCAUGAUGCAUGAACAUACUUAAAAUUUAGUUACUUAAAAACAUAGUUCAAUUCUACUCACCUCUGGCUGACGCUUGACUGACACUGAAGCAGCUGACUCACUGCUGGUCUCUUCGGUCUCUCAGGUCCGAUCCUACAUUGAUGGACUCAAGUGAGGGACCAAACAUAACUCUAGCAAGACUCUAAACAUCUCCCCAAAAACCCCCUAAAAUAUCAUAAAACAUGCAUACAAAACAAGCGAAGGAAGGCUGGGCAGGGGACUUUCGGCGGCAGGUCAGCGGCCGAAGGUCCCUACAGAUCCGAAAGUCAGGCACUUUCGGGGGCAAGGUUCGGCGGCCGAAAGUCCCUUCUAGAUCCGAAAGUCCAUGCUUUCGGGGGCAGUUUAGGCGGCCAAAGGCUGCCUCCGGUGGCAGGUUCGGCGGCCGAACCUUGCUUCGGCGGCCGAACCUUGCUUCGGCGGCCGAACCUGGGUUCUCCAGAAUGGCAGAACCCGAUAUUGCCCUAAGCAUUUCAGCCUCCAAAACUUCUCAAACUCUCACAUCUUUUCCUCAAAACAUGCAUAAGGGGUAUAAAAACUAGUCUAAACCCCAACAAACAAUUACAAAACAUAAGAGGGAGCAUACAUUCAUUAAAGACCCAACUCAAACCCUAUAGCUCUAUAUUUAACCUCAACAUGCAUCUUUUCCCUUUAAACCUUCAUAAAACUCAAUUCAAAACAGAAGAGAGGCAAGGAUCUAGGCUUACCUCUUGGAGAUCUAGGAGUGACAGCAACCCCAACGUGGAGAUGAGUCAAACGGUCUCCAAGGCUUCAAAAACUCGGGUUUAAGCUUAGAUCUUCAAAGACAAGAGAAAACUCGUAAAAACAUUGAAGGAUUUGAAAGAAAAUCAAAAAAUCAACAAAGGGAGGGCAAGAACUCACCUUUGCCCGAAAAUGGGAAGAAAAACUCUCCCGUUUUUGGACUGGGGGCCUCUUAUAGGUGGCUGGCCAGACCACCUUCGGGGGCCGAAAGAGCUUCCGCGGCAGCACCAUGUUCGGCGGCCGAACCUGGGCUUAUCCCUCAAAAACAUUUUUCUUCUUUUAAAAACUUUAAUCCAAAAACUUAGCAUUAAAACCAUAAAAAGCAUUUUGUAAAAAUAUAUUUUACCCUUCUAGAGGUCCCAGCAUUCGAGAUUCCGGAUUCCAAUAGAGAUUCCGUCGGAAGAUUGGAAUUCCGACACCAAAGUCUAGCCGAGUAUUACACUUAAAGUCCCCUUAUAGAAUCGAAGGUCAAAUUUUCGAAGGCAUGUUAGAUGGCCAAAAGGCAGCCUUCACAGAUAGACAUAACAUUUCCUGUGAAUUCGAUGAUGAUGUGGCUGACUACUUGAUAAGGGGCAUCACCAGUUAAGCCGAACCUGGAUUCUUCUGCAAUGCAAAACCCGAUUCUGCCUCAGUCCAUAGCCACCAAAACGUGAUAAAACCCACAUGCAACAGCUCAUAAACAACUAUACACAAAAGGAACACCUAAACUUCAUCAGCAUCAACAACACAAGAAGUAUUAUCCAUUAUAAGAAAACUAGAAACUUAAGCUCCAACACAUAUAAAAGAUCUUGCUUGCAUCACCAACCAUAGAAACAACUAAUGCCUCUUUUAAAAUCCCAACAACAGAAGAGAGGCAAUGAUUAAACUUAUCCCUAGGAAGAAGUACCAACACAGCAAUAAGGAGAAAUUCGGAAAGGAAGAAGAAAUGAGCUCUGAAGAUCUCAAAAGUUAAAACUUUGAAACACUGAGCUUGAUUUCUUCAAAACAAAAGGUAAAACUCAUGAGAAAACUGUGAAAAAAAAAAGAAUUUGUAAAAAAGAAGAGCAGAAGACUUACCUCUACUCGAAAUGGAGUAAAAAUUUUCUCCUUUUUGGGCAGAGCCCCUUUUAUAGGUGACUGGAAAAACCACAUUCAGCGGUCUAGCUUGAAGGUUUGGUGGCUGAAUCUUAAAAAUUUUCUAAAACUGUUUUUUUUUUUUUUAAAUACAUCAUAAAAUGCUUCAAACUCAUUUUAUAAAAAAUUCAUUUUACCCUUCUAAAGUUUUCGAUUCCAAGAUUCCAGAUUUCAAUGGAAAUUCCAUCGAGAAGUUAGAAUUCCGACAUCGGAGUUUAGCCGGGUAUUCCAUGAAACAUCCCAACAGCAAAACAACCACAAAUCAUAAACCGAACUCAAAAGUAAGGCUUAAGAAAGGAAGGAAUCAAUGACAAAUUACGAAAUAAACUCACCCUGACGUUGCUGAGCACAACCACCCGAAUGAAAAUAGAGGCAAGGAGAGAUGUCAUGGCUUUUCCGGUCUAUAUAGUCCUAGAGUAACCAUUCAGAGGGCCUCCGGUGUUGAUAAUCCAUCAAACCAAACCACCCAAACUUCAAUCGACUAAAGAAGACUGGAGAGAAAGACCGUAUCCAUGCAACCAGAGAAACUUCAUACCAGAUCCAAAAUUUUCACAUAAAAACUUAAACAACCAUAAGAUCGAAAGAAAAUUUGACCAAAACAAAACAACAUGACUUGUACAAUCCCUGCCCAUAAGGGCAAGAACCCAAAAUCAUAAACCCAAAUAAUAUCCCGUUCUGUUCUCUCUCUAGAACUCCUUUUUUCUUAUUUUAGAGUUUAGAACCAACUAACCAAAUUGUAAUCUGAUUCUAAUAUGUUAGCUUUUAUUUUUUUUUUAAAAAAGUCAUAUAAUAUCAAUUAUGACAUAAAUGUACAGUAAACAGACAUAUUGGGUACAAUGAUAACCGAAAUCGUGCCGCUGCGUCUGGUGAUUACUGCUUCCUUCGGCUAUAUCG